AAAGUGGAGCAAUCCAUGAGUAAAGUGGCGCACGGGUGAGUAACACGUGACUAACCUACCCAGGAGUGGGGGAUAACUGAGGGAAACCUUAGCUAAUACCGCAUAACACCUAAGGGUCAAAGGAGCAAUUCGCUUCUGGAGGGGGUCGCGGCCGAUUAGUUAGUUGGCAGGGUAAUGGCCUACCAAGACGAUGAUCGGUAUCCGGCCUGAGAGGGCGCACGGACACACUGGAACUGAAACACGGUCCAGACUCCUACGGGAGGCAGCAGUGGGGAAUUUUGCGCAAUGGGGGAAACCCUGACGCAGCAACGCCGCGUGGAGGAUGAAGUCCUUCGGGACGUAAACUCCUUUCGAUCGGGACGAUUAUGACGGUACCGGAAGAAGAAGCCCCGGCUAACUUCGUGCCAGCAGCCGCGGUAAUACGAGGGGGGCGAGCGUUGUUCGGAAUUAUUGGGCGUAAAGGGUGCGUAGGCGGUUUGGUAAGUCUGAUGUGAAAUCUAUGGGCUCAACUCAUAGUCUGCAUCGGAAACUGCCGGGCUUGAGUAUGGGAGUGGUGAAGUGGAAUUCCUGGUGUAGCGGUGAAAUGCGUAGAUAUCAGGAGGAACACCUGUGGCGAAAGCGGCUCACUGGACCAUAACUGACGCUGAUGCACGAAAGCUAGGGGAGCAAACAGGAUUAGAUACCCUGGUAGUCCUAGCCCUAAACGAUGACUGCUUGGUGUGACGGGUACCCAAUCCCGCCGUGCCGUAGCUAACGCGUUAAGCAGUCCGCCUGGGGAGUACGGUCGCAAGGCUGAAACUC
rnacentral:rRNA from 1 species